rnacentral:rRNA from 1 species
UGGGGAAUAUUGGACAAUGGGGAACCGUAGCAUCCAGCCAAUGCCGCAGUGAGUGAUGAAAGGCCUUAGGGUUGUAAAGCUCUUUUACCCGGGAUGAUAAUGACAGUACCGGGAGAAUAAGCUCCGGCUAACUCCGUGCCAGCAGCCGCGGUAAUACGGAGGGAGCUAGCGUUGUUCGGAAUUACUGGGCGUAAAGCGCACGUAGGCGGCUUUGUAAGUUAGAGGUGAAAGCCUGGAGCUCAACUCCAGAAUUGCCUUUGAUACUGCAUGGCUUGAAUCCAGGAGAGGUGAGUGGAAUUCCGAGUGUAGAGGUGAAAUUCGUAGAUAUUCGGAAGAACACCAGUGGCGAAGGCGGCUCACUGGACUUGGUAUUGACGCUGAGGUGCGAAAGCGUGGGGAGCAAAACA